rnacentral:RNase_P_RNA from 1 species
AUGAGAGAAUGGGUGACCGCGGGGAAAAUGUUCCCUGAGGAAAGUCCGGGCACCUCUGGUGACACUGGGUAAUCCCCAGAGAGGGUGACCUCUGGAAAGUGCCACAGAAACCACACCACCCGGCAGAUAAAACUGCCGGGAAAGGGUGAAAAGGUGGGGUAAGAGCCUACCAGCAGGAAAGUGAUUUCCUGGCUGGGUAAACCCUGUCAGGUGCAAGGCCAAAUAGGAGGUUUAACCUCGGGUGGGCCGCUUGAGGUCCAGGGUAACCUGGAUCCCAGAUGAAUGGUCACCGCCGGGAUAUUCCCGGUAACAGAACCCGGCUUACACUUCUCUCAUCCUC